rnacentral:lncRNA from 1 species
AGGGCCAAGCCUGGACAAGCAGUUGCCUGGCCCUUACCUCUCAUCUUAAUCAAUAUUUAAUAUCGAUUCUAAGACACAAGGCAAGAAGAUGGCAGUUUAGUAGCAGCAAAAGCUGGAAUCACUCCAAGAAUUCUCCUAAGACAGAAGAAUGCAAAAGAAGUUCAUGUUGGAUUUAAUUAGCCUCAGGGCUUGAGGAUGGAAGAAAGGACAGUUCUAGAACUCCAUGUUUUUUCCCUGUUAUGUGGCUGGAAGGUGAGGUGUGGAUGCUCAGUCCUCUUGAGACUACAAACAAGGAAAACCAAAGCAAGAACUAAAAUUCUUGUUAAGCUUUUCAAGGACUUGGAGAAAUUUGGAAACAUCAUGGGUAGAAUUGCCCUAAGGCAGCAUGAUAUUGUGGACAGAAAGUUAGCCUCAAGACCAGGAAGACCUGAAUUCCAAGCCAGUUUCUGGAAUGUCCACCGAGACGGAGCUAUGUGCUGCUGCGGCUGUCUGGGAGCAAGCAUCCUCCUUCUCCUGCGCCUUCUGCAUAUUUGAAGAUGUGUGUAAUGCAAUAUAUGUUUAGAUCAAAACAGAUGGUACGCUUGGCUCUGUUUACCAUACCGUCUAGUGGAGGGUUAUUCCCUAAUAGCUGACCCUGAAUCCAGGGCUAUCUGAAGACGUCUGCAUUACCUCUAAGCAAGAUCACUGAGCACCGGGACCUUGUGACGCUUCCAGUGGCGCUGGAAACAUGUUAGAAUUGAAAUCAUCCGAUUUUGUGCCCCUAGGGCAAAUCACUUGCCCUUUCUCAGCCUC